GGUUAAAAAGCUCGUAGUUGGAUUUCUGUUGAGGGCGACCGGUGUACACCUCGUGUAUUAUUUGGUUCGGUCUCGGCAUCCUCUUGGGGAACGUUUCUGGACUUUAUUGGACAGGGCGAGAUUCAAGACUUUUACUUUGAGGAAAUUAGAGUGUUCACGGCAGGCAAGCGCUUUGAAUACAUUAGCAUGGAAUAAUAAUAUAGGACCUUCGUUCUAUUUUGUUGGUUUCUAGAACUUAGGUAAUGAUUAAUAGGGACAAUUGGGGGCAUUCGUAUUAACGCGUCAGAGGUGGAAUUCUUGGAUUGCGUUACGACGAACUACUGCGAAAGCAUUUGCCAAAGAUGUUUUCAUUGAUCAGGAACGAAAGUAUGGGGAUCGAAGACGCUUAGAUACCGUCGUAGUCUAUACCAUAAACUAUGCCAACUAGAGAUUGGUGGGGUUCUCCUAUUUGGCUCCAUCAGCAUCUUAUGAGAAAUCAAAGUCUUUGGGUUCCGGGGGGAGUAUGGUCGCAAGGCUGAAACUUAAAGGAAUUGACGGAAGGGCACCACCAGGAGUGGAGCCUGCGGCUUAAUUUGACUCAACACGGGAAAACUUACCAGGUCCAGACAUAGUAAGGAUUGACAGAUUGAUAGCUC
rnacentral:rRNA from 1 species